GAAAGUUUAUGACUUUCCCUGACUGGAUCGGACUAUAUGAAAAGGUGGACAUCUGGCGUUGGUCCUAUAACAACCUCCCAUUGGAGAAUACAACUCUGAGGAACUGGUAUCCUAUGGGUGAGCCUUCAGCGAAUGGAAUUGAAGCAUGUGGUGCAAUUUAUUACAAUGGAUACUGGUUAGAUUAUCCCUGCACAUACCCGAAAUCCUUUAUCUGCUACGUUUGAGUCACCAUCCUGAUUUAAUUUCCCUUUGUUUCUGUUUACUGAUUAGUUUUGCAACAAUUUAUCAACCUUAGGAUUUUAGCUAUAGUUCAGUAAGAUUUCCCUAGUACAUUACUAGGCAUGAGAUUUUUAAUAAGAUGAACUGUCCCCUUAUAGUAACAUAUUUUCUAACCCCUUCAAAAUUAGUUUCUCUGCCAUGCCAGCACAACACACAGACGUUGAUUUUAACCCAUGUUUCAGACCUUUCUCAAGCCAACCGUGAUAGAUACCAGAGUUCAUGUAUGAAAGUUCUCAGUAACUGCCUUAGGGCAACAUAUUAUAAUAUCAGUAUUAUAUCAAAUUGUCACCAUGCACUUUUCAGAGAUCAUACAUGCACAUUCAUUCAUGCCCCAAUAAAACUGAAAUGGUUUCACAUGGACAAAAUGUUUACAGCUGCUCAGACCGAUCUGCUCCUUUGUCCCUUUAGCUUCACGCAGUAUGUGGCUGCCCUCUCUCGCGACUUGGGUCCCAUAGGAACCCAGUCUCCAAUACACACCUGGCUCAAAAUUAAUGCAUCACAUGAAAGUUUUCACAUUAAAAUUCUUUCUAAAGUAUUAGAAAUGACACUUCAACGUAGGACUAUUUAACCUUAAUUGUCUUGAGUGUUCUGGGAAGGUUAACUUUUAAAAAGUAAUUUAUGUAUAUUAUCAUGUACUGCUUGAAGCAUUAAUCAUGUGGUGGGGUGUGUUUUUUUUUUUUUUUUUUUUUUUGUGUUUGUUUUUUCACAGUUAGAUUCAGUGGUUUUGCCAGAUUUGUCUCCUACGCCCUUCCUCUUCUAGACUGGUUUGGAGCUCAGGCUUACUGCAAAGUUUUUCACACUGAUUUGACCACCACAGCCAGCUCAACAAACAACAAUGAAUUAAAGAAUCUAGUGUUAUACCUGACCUCUUCUUGGUUUGGCCUGUUUAGGGGCACCUGUACAUGGUCAGGUGGAACCAUAGCUUCAAACAUCGUGUGGGCUCCUUUCCAGCCGGAUCACUUUGGCACGAAGUACUGCGGGACGUAUGCUCUAGGACUGAUCAGGGAUGACACCUGCAGCAAUGAACAUGCUUUCUUUUCUCAAUCCACUCCACCAGUGAGGCAACAGCAGAUAUUGAAACUGCAGAUGAAGUCUGAUGGGAAUGUGCUUGAUCCUGAUGUGCAGUCGUCCAUUUUACAGCAGGCUUCAUAACCCCCUUACUCUCCACUGCUGGUCCUAUGGGGGGCAGUUGCCCGGAUAUUACCCCCCUGCUUCACAC